GAGUUUGAUCCUGGCUCAGAUUGAACGCUGGCGGCAGGCCUAACACAUGCAAGUCGAGCGGUAACAGGAGAAAGCUUGCUUUCUUGCUGACGAGCGGCGGACGGGUGAGUAAUGUAUGGGGAUCUGCCCGAUAGAGGGGGAUAACUACUGGAAACGGUGGCUAAUACCGCAUAAUGUCUACGGACCAAAGCAGGGGCUCUUCGGACCUUGCACUAUCGGAUGAACCCAUAUGGGAUUAGCUAGUAGGUGGGGUAAAGGCUCACCUAGGCGACGAUCUCUAGCUGGUCUGAGAGGAUGAUCAGCCACACUGGGACUGAGACACGGCCCAGACUCCUACGGGAGGCAGCAGUGGGGAAUAUUGCACAAUGGGCGCAAGCCUGAUGCAGCCAUGCCGCGUGUAUGAAGAAGGCCUUAGGGUUGUAAAGUACUUUCAGCGGGGAGGAAGGUGAUAAGGUUAAUACCCUUGUCAAUUGACGUUACCCGCAGAAGA
rnacentral:rRNA from 1 species